rnacentral:rRNA from 1 species
UACGAACUGUGCAAACGUUAUUCGGAUUCACUGGGCUUAAAGGGUGCGUAGGCGGCCAUGUAAGUAGGGUGUGAAAUCCCCCGGCUUAACCGGGGAACUGCGCCCUAAACUGUAUGGCUGGAGUGAGAUAGGGGUGUGUGGAACUUCCGGUGGAGCGGUGAAAUGCGUAGAGAUCGGGAGGAACACCAGUGGCGAAGGCGGCCAUCUGGAUCAACACUGACGCUGAGGCACGAAAGCGUGGGGAGCAAACAGG